rnacentral:rRNA from 1 species
UGCAAGUCGAGCGGGGAAAGGUAGCUUGCUACCUAACCUAGCGGCGGACGGGUGAGUAAUGCUUAGGAAUCUGCCUAUUAGUGGGGGACAACAUUCCGAAAGGAAUGCUAAUACCGCAUACGUCCUACGGGAGAAAGCAGGGGACCUUCGGGCCUUGCGCUAAUAGAUGAGCCUAAGUCGGAUUAGCUAGUUGGUGGGGUAAAGGCCUACCAAGGCGACGAUCUGUAGCGGGUCUGAGAGGAUGAUCCGCCACACUGGGACUGAGACACGGCCCAGACUCCUACGGGAGGCAGCAGUGGGGAAUAUUGGACAAUGGGGGGAACCCUGAUCCAGCCAUGCCGCGUGUGUGAAGAAGGCCUUUUGGUUGUAAAGCACUUUAAGCGAGGAGGAGGCUACUAGUAUUAAUACUACUGGAUAGUGGACGUUACUCGCAGAAUAAGCACCGGCUAACUCUGUGCCAGCAGCCGCGGUAAUACAGAGGGUGCGAGCGUUAAUCGGAUUUACUGGGCGUAAAGCGUGCGUAGGCGGCUGAUUAAGUCGGAUGUGAAAUCCCUGAGCUUAACUUAGGAAUUGCAUUCGAUACUGGUCAGCUAGAGUAUGGGAGAGGAUGGUAGAAUUCCAGGUGUAGCGGUGAAAUGCGUAGAGAUCUGGAGGAAUACCGAUGGCGAAGGCAGCCAUCUGGCCUAAUACUGACGCUGAGGUACGAAAGCAUGGGGAGCAAACAGGAUUAGAUACCCUGGUAGUCCAUGCCGUAAACGAUGUCUACUAGCCGUUGGGGCCUUUGAGGCUUUAGUGGCGCAGCUAACGCG